UACGAAGGGGGCUAGCGUUGUUCGGAAUUACUGGGCGUAAAGCGCGCGCAGGCGGUUCUCCAAGUCAGUGGUGAAAGCCCGGAGCUCAACUCCGGAACUGCCAUUGAAACUGUUGAACUCGAGGACGAGAGAGGUGAGUGGAAUUCCCAGUGUAGAGGUGAAAUUCGUAGAUAUUGGGAAGAACACCGGUGGCGAAGGCGGCUCACUGGCCCGUAACUGACGCUCAUGCACGACAGCGUGGGGAUCAAACAGG
rnacentral:rRNA from 1 species